rnacentral:rRNA from 1 species
GACGUAGGGCGCGAGCGUUGUCCGGAUUUAUUGGGCGUAAAGAGCUUGUAGGCGGUUUGUCGCGUCUGCUGUGAAAUUUCGGGGCUCAACCCCGAACUUGCAGUGGGUACGGGCAGACUAGAGUGUGGUAGGGGAGACUGGAAUUCCUGGUGUAGCGGUGAAAUGCGCAGAUAUCAGGAGGAACACCGAUGGCGAAGGCAGGUCUCUGGGCAUUAACUGACGCUGAGGAGCGAAAGCAUGGGGAGCGAACAGG